GCUGGAUAAUUUGAUGAACUGUCUAAUAGGUCAUACCUGGUGGUUCUGCUGAGUUUGCUGGGCUAAAACACAACGAUGUCAUAAUUCAAUUUGGUGGCAGAAAAGUUCGAAGUUUCUUGGAGCUAUUUCAUGACAUGUGGAAGCAUGUGGGAGAAUCAGUGGAGUUAGUUGUGAUAAGAGCGAGUGCUGAUGUUCCUUUGCAUCUUACCAUGGUGGUGGAGGAGGCCACAUCAGAUAAAUUAUACAGCUGGCCAUUUUGGGAGGUAUGAUGACAUUCGAGAAGAGUAACAUCUAAGGGUUGCAGGUAGUUGAGUAGCAGAUAAAGUAGUGAGCAGCUUUGCCCCUGAUAACUGACUUUUGUGAAACACUUCUUGGAACUGUAAUAAACUUUGGCAGUUUCACUGUGUUGGAUUGCAGUUGGAUGUUCUCCAAGCAUUUUGUUGCAUUAGGAUGGCUAGAUAGAGAGUUAUUAAGUAAAAUUAGGAUGGCUAGGUUUUUUUCUAUGUUCUCCGAAUCACUUUUCUAGAAGAGGUUUCUUACCCUUAGAUGCUAUGGACUUGUCAGUAAAGAAACAUUCUUCUACUACCUCUGUGCUUUGGGCAUUAUGACGUUGAAUUUCUUUGGAUCUCCAUAUGUGAAAGGUUCUCAAUUGCCAAAUUCAGACAAACUGAGUUUGUUAGAUUUAUUGUUUUGAUAAAUUGAUUUUUGGGGGUUUGUUCUUCA